GAACACCUCAAAUUGUAGUAAAAGUUGGACAAAUUCUGGUGGAACAUGUGACAAAAGGAGAAAUAUUAUCAUGUAAUAAAUAUAAAUCAGUUUCCAACUAUGACAAUUUUGGAUUGUGGACUAUUGAUCGACCAAGGAUGGCAACACAGAUCUCUCUUAAGGCACAACUCAGCUACAAACCACUCAAAGGAAAAGAGAUCUCUGGCAAUUAGUGUCAUUAUAACUGCUCAUGUGCGCGGCGGGCUGGAGAAACAUUAACGCUGGCAGCGGACUUUAAUUUGUGCGCCUGACUUGCCCUACAGCACCACCAUAAUCCAGUCUAAGAGGAAGUUGUCACAAAGGCUUUGGUGAUGCACGAUGAGAAAGGUCAGUUUUAUCUAAUGUGUCAGACUGCAUAAUUUGCCUAUUAUAUUAUCAGAACACAUAAUAACUAAUGUUGUUAUAAUGUUUUGGCUGAUUAUAGAUUAUUACGUUGGC